rnacentral:rRNA from 1 species
AUUGAACGCUGGCGGCAUGCCUUACACAUGCAAGUCGAACGGUAACAGGUCUUCGGAUGCUGACGAGUGGCGAACGGGUGAGUAAUACAUCGGAACGUGCCCGAGAGUGGGGGAUAACGAGGCGAAAGCUUUGCUAAUACCGCAUACGAUCUCAGGAUGAAAGCAGGGGACCGCAAGGCCUUGCGCUCACGGAGCGGCCGAUGGCAGAUUAGGUAGUUGGUGGGAUAAAAGCUUACCAAGCCGACGAUCUGUAGCUGGUCUGAGAGGAAGACCAGCCACACUGGGACUGAGACACGGCCCAGACUCCGACGGGAGGCAGCAGUGGGGAAUUUUGGACAAUGGGCGCAAGCCUGAUCCAGCCAUGCCGCGUGCAGGAUGAAGGCCUUCGGGUUGUAAACUGCUUUUGUACGGAACGAAAAGACUCUGGUUAAUACCUGGGGUCCAUGACGGUACCGUAAGAAUAAGCACCGGCUAACUACGUGCCAGCCGCCGCAGUAACAC